GGCUAGGCCCCUAAUAGAUUGCUAAGUGAUAAAGGAUGUGGGAAUGCUUAAACAGUCAGGAGGUUCGCCUAGAAGCAGCUAUCCUUUAAAGAGUGCGUAAUAGCUCACUGAUCUAGUGCGCCUGCGCCGAAAAUGAACGGGACUAAGCAGUCUGCCGAAGCUGUGGGAUUUUUAUAGAUCGGUAGGGGAGCGUUCCACCGUAGGUAGAAGCAUUAGUGUAAACGGGGGUGGACGAAGUGGAAGUGAGAAUGUCUGCUUGAGUAACGAACACGUUGAUGAGAAUCCGAUGCCCCGAAAACCUAAUGUUUCCUCCGGGAGGCUCGUCCGCGGAGGGUGAGUCAGGACCUAAGAUGAGGCCGAAAGGCGUAGUCGAUGG
rnacentral:rRNA from 1 species